CGGUCACUGAACUGGUCAAGGCACAGGUUCAAAGUUUAUUGGUCCAACCGUAGUUCAACCAGUAGUUCAACCGAGGUUGAACCGGUAGUAAUUAAGUAUUGUUUUUAAUAUUUAUAUAACAUAAAAACUAAUAUGAACACAUAUCCACAAAAUUCAUAUCUUAAAAUAAACAUUAUUAAAUAUUGUUUUUUUAAACGUUACUUUAUAAAAUAUUGUUAACAUUAUUUAUACAACUUUUAAAAAAUAAAAUGCAUUAGGACGUAGGUUUUUUUUAACAAGCUUUAGUUUUUUUAUAUAAGCAAGCAUCUUGUUUUUUUGGGCUUGGUAUUAUAGGCCCAGUUUCCCAACACUUUAAAGCAUAGGCUGUAAAUAUUUUUUUGUCAAGAACUGUAGGUGUUUUUAGCAAAUGGAAGUUGUAGUUUUUAAGCCCAUCAAUAACCCUAAUGUAUUUUUCUUAUGUCAUAUGGGGAGAUAUGCAGCCGUCAUAUUCCCUUCCCCCAUUCUGUUGUAUCCCUCUUCCUCUUCUUUCAUUUCUUCUACAAAUUUCUUUUCCACUAUUCAUAAAAGUUGAAUAUUGGUGUUAAAAUGAAACUAUCUUUUAUGUUGAGAUAGAGGGAGUGCCGGAGUGGUUGCUAAGAAUAGUAGAAGAGCUUGCAAGAGAAGAGAAGGGUUUAUUUCUCUGAUUUUUUUCAUUUUUCUGGUUUCAGAUUGCACAAAACUGCAGCAGCUUUGGAGCUUUCUAUGAACCGGUUGAAACCGGUAAACCACCGGUUUUUAUCGGUUUACCCGGUUUAACACCGGUUUCACCGGUCGUUUUUCAUUCCGCCGGUUAAAGAGGCAUUCCGGACCGGGGUAUGGUCCGGUUGAACCGGUCGAACCGGCCGGUCCGGUCUGGUUUCAGAACAUAUUAAAUCUAUUUCAUUUCAUCCAUUAUUAAAAAUUCCCUGUUAGAUUUAAAUUCAUCAUGAUCCAUGAAUAGCCAAAACUAAAACACAAAUUCAUAAACUAAUGUACCAUCCUUGGAGUUGCCCUUAAUGGAAACCAAAUUACCUCUUUCUGGUUCCAGAAACGUGAUCACCACUCGCAAGAUAAUGCUUACUUUACGUAUUUUGCUUAGGUAUGUUUUUAACUAAUAUCUCUAAUGUAUUAUUUUCUUCUCAGUCAUUGUUGUCUAUAUUUUUUAUCAUAUGUCCUAAUUCUAUAAAAGAAGUGAUGUACAACUUAAUAUUACUUCACCUUGCUAAUUAAUUGGUUGACAUCUUAUGGCUAUUAAGUUUUUACUGGAUUAUCCUGAAUCUCUAUAAUGGGUAAGUCAACACAAUGAUACUAUUUGAAAAUCACAAUUAGUUAUCCUAUAUGUUAUUAUUUAAUGUGGAAAGAAAAUUUAAUUUUAUGUGUGUUCCUUAACUUCUUUUUGAUUGUUUUUUCAUUUAGAUUGAUGCAAAACAAGAAGUCAUUUCUCAUGCUAAAGCCUGAAUAAAAUUGAGAUUGGAACCUGCGCUGCCACCACCCUUGGAACACAAAUCGUGUGCCACAAUAAGAGUGAUGAAUCACAAAUCGUGAUUGGAUUGCCGUCUACCCUUCAUAAAACAUAUUGGUCGAACACAAUUUUUGACUGAUUGAUUCGAUCAAUCACUCAUUUAUCAUGGAAUGAGGUAUGGCUGAUCUCUUUCAACUCGAAAACUUGAUGAGGAUGCAAUUGGCUUGGAUUCAACGGUGAAUGACUUCUUUGCAAGUACUUCAUUUUUUUUUUAUAGAUUCCACUGUACGAAC